UUUGGUGGCCGAAAAUAAUAAGCGAUAAAUUGUAAAUUUAUUUAUGACGUAACGUCCCAUUCGAGAA
rnacentral:tRNA from 1 species